rnacentral:rRNA from 1 species
CCCUUAGAUGUUCUGGGCCGCACGCGCGCUACACUGAUGCAUUCAACGAGUCUAAAACCUGCUCUGAUAGGGGUGGGUAAUCUUUUGAAUGCGCAUCGUGAUUGGGAUAGAUGAUUGCAAUUUUUCAUCUUCAACGAGGAAUGCCUAGUAAACGCAAGUCAUCAGCUUGCAUUGAUUACGUCCCUGCCCUUUGUACACACCGCCCGUCGCUCCUACCGAUUGAAUGAUCCGAUGAAUAUCAUGGAUUGAGGAUGCAAGUAGGUUCGCCUAUCUUCAUCUUCGAGAAGUGAAGUAAAUCUUAUCAUUUAGAGGAAGGAGAAGUCGUAACA